rnacentral:lncRNA from 1 species
UGUUCUCAACUAACUUGCCUGGUUAAAUAAAAAAGGUAAGAAAAAGAAGUAUCCUCUGCCUCUCCGGAGCUUUGCUGUAGUUAUCAGCACAACUGGCUAACAAAAGAAACAAUAUUACUACCAGAAAAAGCAACAAAGAAAGAGAUGUGAGGAAUGGGAGCGUAAGUGGAGAGAGGGUGAAUGAGAGGGCGGAAGACAGAAAGAGGAGAAAGAUGUGAGGAAGGGAGCGUAAGUGGGACGAGAGGGCGGAAGACAGCAGAGGAAGAAAGAUGUGAGGGAAGGGGAGCGGUAAAGUGGAGAGAGGGCGGAAAGACAGAAAGAGAGAAGAAAGUGGAGAAGGGACGUAGUGGAGAGAGGCGUGAAUGAGAGGACGGAAGACAGAAAGAGGAGAAAGAUGUGAGGAACGGGA